UACGGAGGGUGCAAGCGUUAAUCGGAAUUACUGGGCGUAAAGGGUGCGUAGGCGGUUGUUUAAGUCUGUUGUGAAAUCCCCGGGCUCAACCUGGGAAUGGCAAUGGAUACUGGACAGCUAGAGUGUGUCAGAGGAUGGUGGAAUUCCACGUAUAGCGGUGAAAUGCGUAGAGAUGUGGAGGAACACCAGUGGCGAAGGCGACUCUUUGGCCUGUAACUGACACUGAGGCGCGAAAGCGUGGGGAGCAAACAGG
rnacentral:rRNA from 1 species